UACGGGGGGGGCAAGCGUUGUUCGGAAUUACUGGGCGUAAAGCGCGCGUAGGCGGAAGUUUAAGCGGGGCCUGAAAGCCCCCGGCUCAACCGGGGAGGGUCACGCGAUACUGCUCGACUCGAAGGCAGGAGAGGGAAGUGGAAUUCCCGGUGUAGUGGUGAAAUGCGUAGAGAUGCGGAGGAACACCAGUGGCGAAAGCGACUUUCUGGUCCUUAACUGACGCUGAGGCGCGAAAGCAUGGGGAGCGAACGGG
rnacentral:rRNA from 1 species